CCUACGGGAGGCAGCAGUGAGGAAUAUUGGUCAAUGGGCUUACGCCUGAACCAGCCAAGUCGCGUGAGGGAAGACUGCCCUAUGGGUUGUAAACCUCUUUUGUCAGGGAGCAAUUGGCGCUACGUGUAGCGUUAUCGAGAGUACCUGAAGAAAAAGCAUCGGCUAACUCCGUGCCAGCAGCCGCGGUAAUACGGAGGAUGCGAGCGUUAUCCGGAUUUAUUGGGUUUAAGGGGUGCGUAGGCGGAAUGCCAAGUCAGCGGUAAAAUCGCGGGGCUCAACCUCGCUCAGCCGUUGAAACUGGCGGUCUUGAGUGGGCGAGAAGUACGCGGAAUGCGUGGUGUAGCGGUGAAAUGCAUAGAUAUCACGCAGAACUCCGAUUGCGAAGGCAGCAUACCGGCGCCAAACUGACGCUGAAGCACGAAAGCGUGGGUAUCGAACAGGAUUAGAUACCCUUGUAGUC
rnacentral:rRNA from 1 species